CAAGCAAGCAAGCAAGCAAGCAAGCAAGCAAGCAAGCAAGCAAGCUUCUUGACUGUUUCUGUCCUUUACAAUGGAGCAGUCUUCAACGAACCUACCUUAAGGCGUUCCAGCCUUAAGUGUGCCCUCACCUUUCUUCGGUAUGCCGGGUCCCUCCGCCCCAGGAACGCCGUCCGCGGUACCUCGGUUAGGGAGCCCGCCAGCCUACCACCCUCGCAAGUACCCACCUAACCUUCCAGGGACGGUGUCCAAGCUUCCUCGGCGGCCCUAUGGCAGGACUGUACUGGCAACCUUGUCCAAGCCAUCGACCAGCUGACACAACAGCUCCAGGUUAUGACAAGCGCCUUCGCAUCCGUCGGCGGUUGCGUCCUGCCUGGGAACGAAGUCCACGCUUCCCUUGGCGAGGAUAUCCUCCCAGACAUUAAUUGGACCUCCAAGCCACCAAGGAAGCGGAAAAUCCGGCGAGCUUCCGGCGUCAGCAUUGGAUGGUACCAAGACCCACGUGAUCAAGUGGUGGCGUCACGUUCCUGGCGCUGGACCUGCUGCAGCUCGCCGUGCGAAAUCCUGCGGUGAACAACCACGGCGUCGGACAAACACGCUGACACACACACAAAUAAUUGAGUUUGCCGGAUUCGAAAAUUGAGUUGACCCAUGUUCAAAACCGACCUGGUCCACUCCCAAAAUUGACCUGUCCCACCUAAGAAAUUUGGGCGGCCCGCCCUCAAGAUUGACUUUGCCCAAAUCGAGCACAUAACAAAGUGAAACGUAUCCCAUGGAAGAAGCACAAUGCUUUCGCGUUCGAUGCACGUGAGGAGACUGACGUGCCUCUGUAACUCAUUUUUCUUUUGUCCGGUGCAAUCAUGCAUAAUCAGUGUGUACGUGUCAUAUAAGAUUGGCAGUUUUCGUGGUUUUUGUGAUGUCGCGGGGCGUACAGACGUAGUGGGUGUUGCCUGAAUAUGUUUCUACCAAUCGCGGAGGGCUAGUGGCUCAAAUUCAAUAGAAACAGUUUGGACUACAUUUA